GGGAAUUAGCAUUCAAUAUCUAUUUGGACACUCCCUGGUUAUCGACCGACAAACCCUGCACUUUCAAGACUGCAUAUGUUCCUAGUUUCUUCAAGGUGGCUGACUUAAUCGACUCUCAUACAGGUACGUCGAAAACAGAACUUGUGCUAUCGAUCUUUGCUUACCAUGAUUCCCAGAAAAUUCUCAGUAUCCCAUUGGUGAGACAUGGAUUGGUUGAUCAGUUGUGUUGGUGCCUUGAAAGUAACAAGGAGUAUUUGGGGAGGAGUGGCUAUCAACUCCUUUUUCCAGGAUACCCAGGAUCG
rnacentral:lncRNA from 1 species